rnacentral:rRNA from 1 species
CGGCAACGGAUAUCUCGGCUCUCGCAUCGAUGAGGAACGUAGCGAAAUGCGAUACUUGGUGUGAAUUGCAGAAUCCCGUGAACCAUCGAGUCUUUGAACGCAAGUUGCGCCCGAAGCCAUCAGGCCGAGGGCACGCCUGCCUGGGCGUCACACGCCGUUGCCCCC